rnacentral:rRNA from 1 species
AAAUUGAAGAGUUUGAUCAUGGCUCAGAUUGAACGCUGGCGGCAGGCUUAACACAUGCAAGUCGAACGGUAGCAGGAGAAAGCUUGCUUUCUUGCUGACGAGUGGCGGACGGGUGAGUAAUGCUUGGGAAUCUGGCUUAUGGAGGGGGAUAACUACGGGAAACUGUAG